CAAGUCGAAUGAGAAAGUGGUAGCAAUACCAUGAGUAAAGUGGCGCACGGGUGAGUAACACGUGACUAACCUACCUCCGAGUGGGGAAUAACCCCGGGAAACCGGGGCUAACACCGCAUAACACUGCAAAGUCAAAUGCGUAAGCAGCUUGGAGAGGGGGUCGCGGCUGAUUAGCUAGUUGGUAAGGUAAUGGCCUACCAAGGCAAUGAUCAGUAGCCGGCCUGAGAGGGCGCACGGCCACACUGGAACUGAAACACGGUCCAGACUCCUACGGGAGGCAGCAGUGGGGAAUUUUGCGCAAUGGGGGAAACCCUGACGCAGCAAUGCCGCGUGGAGGAUGAAGUCCUUUGGGAUGUAAACUCCUUUCGAUCGGGAAGAUAAUGACGGUACCGGAAGAAGAAGCCCCGGCUAACUCUGUGCCAGCAGCCGCGGUAAUACAGAGGGGGCAAGCGUUGUUCGGAAUUAUUGGGCGUAAAGGGCGCGUAGGCGGUGCGGUAAGUCACCUGUGAAAUCUCUGGGCUCAACUCAGAGUCUGCAGGCGAAACUGCCGUGCUUGAGUGUGGGAGAGGUGAGUGGAAUUCCCGGUGUAGCGGUGAAAUGCGUAGAUAUCGGGAGGAACACCUGUGGCGAAAGCGGCUCACUGGACCACAACUGACGCUGAGGCGCGAAAGCUAGGGGAGCAAACAGGAUUAGAUACCCUGGUAGUCCUAGCCCUAACGAUGGAUGUUUGGUGUGACAGGUACCCAAUCCUGUCGUGCCGAGCUAACGCGUUAAACAUCCCGCCUGGGGAGUUACGGUCGCAAGGCUGAAACUCAAGGAAUUGACGGGGGGCCCGCACAAGCGGUGGA
rnacentral:rRNA from 1 species